rnacentral:rRNA from 1 species
CACGUAGGGACCAAGCGUUGUCCGGAUUUAUUGGGCGUAAAGCGCUCGUAGGCGGUUCGGUAAGUCGGGUGUGAAACCUCCAGGCUCAACCUGGUGACGCCACCCGAUACUGCCGUGACUUGAGUUCGGUAGGGGAGCGGGGAAUUCCUGGUGUAGCGGUGAAAUGCGCAGAUAUCAGGAGGAACACCGGUGGCGAAGGCGGCCGCUCGUCGGCAAACUGACGCUGAGGAGCGAAAGCGUGGGGAGCAAACAGG